rnacentral:rRNA from 1 species
UACGUAGGGGGCUAGCGUUGUCCGGAUUUAUUGGGCGUAAAGAGCGUGUAGGCGGCCAGAUAGGUCUGCUGUGAAAACUCGAGGCUCAACCUCGAGCUGUCGGCGGAAACCAUCCGGCUAGAGGACGGUAGAGGAGAGUGGAAUUCCCGGUGUAGUGGUGAAAUGCGUAGAUAUCGGGAGGAACACCAGUGGCGAAAGCGGCUCUCUGGGCCGUUCCUGACGCUAAGACACGAAAGCGUGGGGAGCAAACAGG